rnacentral:rRNA from 1 species
GAUGAACGCUGGCGGCGUGCCUAAUACAUGCAAGUCGAGCGAACGGACGAGAAGCUUGCUUCUCUGAUGUUAGCGGCGGACGGGUGAGUAACACGUGGAUAACCUACCUAUAAGACUGGGAUAACUUCGGGACACCGGAGCUAAUACCGGAUAAUAUUUUGAACCGCAUGGUUCAAAAGUGAAAGACGGUCUUGCUGUCACUUAUAGAUGGAUCCGCGCUGCAUUAGCUAGUUGGUAAGGUAACGGCUUACCAAGGCAACGAUGCAUAGCCGACCUGAGAGGGUGAUGGGCCACACUGAAACUGAGACACGGUCCAGACUCCUACGGGAGGCAGCAGUAGGGAAUCUUCCGCAAUGGGCGAAAGCCUGACGGAGCAACGCCGCGUGAGUGAUGAAGGUCUUCGGAUCGUAAAACUCUGUUAUUAGGGAAGAACAUAUGUGUAAGUAACGGUGAACAUCUGGACGGUACCUAACCAGAAAGCCACGGCUAACUACGU